AUUGAACGCUGGCGGCAGGCCUAACACAUGCAAGUCGAGCGGAUGAAGGGAGCUUGCUCCUGGAUUCAGCGGCGGACGGGUGAGUAAUGCCUAGGAAUCUGCCUGGUAGUGGGGGAUAGCGUCCGGAAACGGGCGCUAAUACCGCAUACGUCCUGAGGGAGAAAGUGGGGGAUCUUCGGACCUCACGCUAUCAGAUGAGCCUAGGUCGGAUUAGCUAGUUGGUGGGGUAAAGGCCUACCAAGGCGACGAUCCGUAACUGGUCUGAGAGGAUGAUCAGUCACACUGGAACUGAGACACGGUCCAGACUCCUACGGGAGGCAGCAGUGGGGAAUAUUGGACAAUGGGCGAAAGCCUGAUCCAGCCAUGCCGCGUGUGUGAAGAAGGUCUUCGGAUUGUAAAGCACUUUAAGUUGGGAGGAAGGGCAGUAAGUUAAUACCUUGCUGUUUUGACGUUACAAACAGAAUAAGCACCGGCUAACUUCGU
rnacentral:rRNA from 1 species